ACUCAAAUGAAUUGACGGGGGCCCGCACAAGCGGUGGAUUAUGUGGAUUAAUUCGAUGCAACGCGAAAAACCUUACCUACCCUUGACAUGUGCGGAAUCCGGAGGAGACUCCGGAGCGCCCGAAAGGGAACCGCAACACAGGUGCUGCAUGGCUGUCGUCAGCUCGUGUCGUGAGAUGUUGGGUUAAGUCCCGCAACGAGCGCAACCCUUGCCAUUAAUUGCCAUCCGAAAGGGGCACUUUAAUGGGACUGCCGGUGACAAACCGGAGGAAGGUGGGGAUGACGUCAAGUCCUCAUGGCCCUUAUGGGUAGGGCUUCACACGUAAUACAAUGGCCGGUACAGAGGGUUGCCAACCCGCGAGGGGGAGCCAAUCCCAGAAAGCCGGUCGUAGUCCGGAUUGCAGUCUGCAACUCGACUGCAUGAAGUCGGAAUCGCUAGUAAUCGCGGAUCAGCAUGUCGCGGUGAAUACGUUCCCGGGCCUUGUACACACCGCCCGU
rnacentral:rRNA from 1 species